rnacentral:rRNA from 1 species
CCUGGCUCAGGACGAACGCUGGCGGCGUGCUUAACACAUGCAAGUCGAGCGGUAAGGNCNUUUCGGGGUACACGAGCGGCGAACGGGUGAGUAACACGUGGGUGAUCUGCCCUGCACUCUGGGAUAAGCUUGGGAAACUGGGUCUAAUACCGGAUAUGACUACAGCAUGCAUGUGUUGUGGUGGAAAGAUUUAUCGGUGCAGGAUGGGCCCGCGGCCUAUCAGCUUGUUGGUGGGGUAAUGGCCUACCAAGGCGACGACGGGUAGCCGACCUGAGAGGGUGACCGGCCACACUGGGACUGAGACACGGCCCAGACUCCUACGGGAGGCAGCAGUGGGGAAUAUUGCACAAUGGGCGGAAGCCUGAUGCAGCGACGCCGCGUGAGGGAUGAAGGCCUUCGGGUUGUAAACCU